UGGAGCAGAGAAAAAGGGAGCGCGCCUGUUCCCUAGUGCGCAUGACAGAAAAGGGGUCUCUCGUCCAACCUUCUGCUUUGCUCUAAACCAUUUUGGAGGAAGAGUGAACGGAGGGCGUGGUGUAGAAAGGGGGGCGGGACUUCGGAGAGGAACGGCUUAAAAAUUUGCCUCAGGAUUUUGGCGCCGAAUGAUUGGCAUUUAUACUUAACGAAGGCAAUAGGUAGACUCCGGAGGAGAUGCGGUAAUUUCUUCUUUCCUGCAGCAAUUCACAGGUUCUGCUUUGCUUCCAUCAAGAGAGUCCGGCUUGGCCUCCUGUGUCAUAUAGAUGGGUGAACCCACUGGCGCUCCCAGACAGACACAGAGGAGAGAAUCACGGAUUCACCCUACUGUCGCUCUGUGCCUUGUCUCCAUUUCUCUCAGCACAGGCUGUGGCUGAGCCAGCAAAAAGCAUCACAGCCAAUACUGGUUUCUUUUUCUAAUCCAUGUAAAGAGCACAUUUUCAUGGGGCUCUUGGGCCUACAGAU